CCCCCUCGCCGACCGACCGACCUAUCUUCCUCUCGCCCCUGCCCCACAGAAAUUCCUUCCUUCCUUGGCUCCGGCGCCUGCCAUACCCAUCACCUCCUUCCUCUAUGCCCAAGGAAAGUAUGGCGAGUCCCACCUUUAAACCCUUUCUGAUUGAUUGAUCCCGUAUAAAAUACUUGCCUUCCUCCGUGCGCGUUGCCGCCAUGGAAAGGGCCGACAUCACACGCAGAGCCGGCCUUGUCUGAGACAGAGACGGGGAGACACCGAGAGAGACGGGUUUGGAUCGGGCGACGGAUGGGAGAGGGAGGCCACGUCCUGCGAGGAAGACAUUAAUGGCGAGAGAGACCCAGGGCAGGUGUUAGUUUGGAGCAAGUGCUGCCGUGUCUGUUUGUCUCUCGGCUUCCACGAGUUCUCGGUGUGGUGAGAAGACGAGCAGGAGGAUAUGCUUGCAAGGGAGGCCGCGUCUGGAAGAUAAGUUUCCGGUCGGGGUAAGUAUUUAUAUACGAUAUGAUUAUCUUUGUUCUGUUCUCCUCGUUGAUUUCCCAUUGGAUUCCAGUUGAGUUCCUCUCUUGUUCUUGAGUUCUUGGGCGGUGAGUCGAAUUUCUUCUCUGAUAUUACUACUACUAUUCCGUAUUUCCUACUUGAAGUGGGAGUUACUCUGUUCUUUCCUGGGUCAGUUUCGUGUGAAAAUUCAAGAGGGGUUUACAUAGCAUAGGAUUACUAUGUAUGAUCAAGAAUCGCAGCACGAUCGAGGAUGAAGAGUUCCACUUGAAAACGAUAAAAGACUCUGAAUUAAUACUUGUGAUCAUCCCUUUGCUUUGCUUAUUUUUGGCUUCUCUGAAGAAAUUCAAGGACGCCGGUGCGUUUAUUGCACAAUGCACUUUUCUCUCGCUAGUUUUUUUUUCUCACUUUCACUAGGUAAUUGAGUAUAGUAUAAAAUUUAAUGAGCACCGUGAUUGGCAUCGUAAAUUCGUAAUCACACACCGUGAUGAUAUUUCUGAUUUGCAAUAUUCGCAUGUAAAUUGCCAUAUCUCCGAGACCAGGAUCCAUCGUUAUCUAGAAGAACGGUGCAGUAAUCGUACUCGAAUUAAUGGCAUGUCCAAAGCCUACACAAUUUCGUCUGACUCAGAAACGGUAAUUAAUAGGCACACACACACGGGCGUUGAAAAUGUGGCGAGGAAAUCAAUUUUCUCCAGAAUUAGGCAAAAGCAAGAAACUGACGCGUACAGGCCGAAGAUGAGAUAUCUGUGCUGCACAUUCUCGUGACUGGACCAGAAAUUAGGCAGUGGAGGGAGAAGAAGCUGACAUGCCUAGCCAGACUAGAAACUAGAGACCUCUCACAUGACAUGGAAAGCACUCACUGCCAGGUUUGAUCUGCGGAUUGUCAAAUCACAUGCAGAAAUCUAGUCGGGUUCUAUCUUCUUGGGAUCCAUUGCUUUUGGUCUCUUCUUCUGAUCGAAUGCUUUUUGGUUUCUUCUUCUUCUUCUACCUUCGCACGUCCGGGUUGAGAUUGGAGGGUAACGCUUGGAGCUUUUCCCAUGGCAG
rnacentral:lncRNA from 1 species